rnacentral:rRNA from 1 species
UAGUCCACGCCCUAAACGAUGUAUACUCGAUGUUUGGAUUUAUUUCUGGGCAUCCAAGGGAAACCAUUAAGUAUACCACCUGGGGAGUACGUCGGCAACGAUGAAACUCAAAGGAAUUGACGGGGUCCGCACAAGCAGUGGAGCAUGUGGUUUAAUUCGAUGCAACGCGAAGAACCUUACCUACCCUUGACAUCCUGCGAAUCCUGUAGAGAUACGGGAGUGCCUUCGGGAAUGCAGAGACAGGUGCUGCAUGGUUGUCGUCAGCUCGUGUUGUGAAAUGUUGGGUUAAGUCCCGUAACGAGCGCAACCCUUGUCCUUAGUUGCCAUCAUUUAGUUGGGGACUCUAAGGAGACUGCCGGUGACAAACCGGAGGAAGGUGGGGACGACGUCAAGUCAUCAUGGCCCUUACGGGUAGGGCUACACACGUGCUACAAUGGUCGGUACAGAGGGUAGCGAAUGGGCGACCUGGAGCCAAUCUUUCAAAGCCGAUCGUAGUCCGGAUCGCAGUCUGCAA